UAAAUACUCCCUCCGUUCCAAAUUACUCGUCACAGAAAUGAAUGUAUCUAUAACUAAAAUACAUCUAGAUACAUCCAUACAUGCGACAAGUAAUUCGGAACGGAGGGAGUACAUG
rfam:Triticum urartu cultivar G1812 contig1123419, whole genome shotgun sequence.